rnacentral:rRNA from 1 species
UACGAAGGGGGCUAGCGUUGUUCGGAAUUACUGGGCGUAAAGCGCACGUAGGCGGGCGAUUAAGUCAGGGGUGAAAUCCCGAGGCUCAACCUCGGAACUGCCUUUGAUACUGGGGAUCUCGAGUCCGGGAGAGGUGAGUGGAACUGCGAGUGUAGAGGUGAAAUUCGUAGAUAUUCGCAAGAACACCAGUGGCGAAGGCGGCUCACUGGCCCGGAACUGACGCUGAGGUGCGAAAAGCGUGGGGAGCAAACAGGG